CCUACGGGUGGCAGCAGUGAGGAAUAUUGGUCAAUGGCCGGAAGGCUGAACCAGCCAAGCCGCGUGAAGGACGAAGGUGCCAAGCAUUGUAAACUUCUUUUGUCAAGGGACAAAAUCAGGCUCGAGAGCCUGACCGCGGGUACUUGAAGAAAAAGCAUCGGCUAAAUCCGUGCCAGCAGCCGCGCUAAUACGGAGUAUGCGAGCGUUAUCCGGAUUUAUUGGAUUUAAGGGGUGCGUAGGCGUACAGUUAAGUCAGCGGUAAAAGCCCGGGGCUCAACCCCGGCGGGCUGUUGAAACUGGCUGUCUUGAGAUGUCGAGAGGUAUGCGGAAUGCGCAGUUUAGCGGUGAAAUGCUUAGAUAUUGCGCAGAACUCCGAUUGCGAAGGCAGCAUACCGGCGGCGAUCUGACGCUGAGGCACGAAAGCGUGGGUAUCGAACAGGAUUAGAUACCCGUGUAGUC
rnacentral:rRNA from 1 species